UACGUAGGGGGCAAGCGUUGUCCGGAAUCAUUGGGCGUAAAGCGCGUGUAGGCGGCCCGGUACGUCCGCUGUGAAAGUCGGGGGCUCAACCCUCGAAUGCCGGUGGAUACUGUCGGGCUAGAGUGCGGAAGAGGCGAGUGGAAUUCCUGGUGUAGCGGUGAAAUGCGCAGAUAUCAGGAGGAACACCAAUUGCGAAGGCAGCUCGCUGGGACGUGACUGACGCUGAGACGCGAAAGCGUGGGGAGCAAACAGG
rnacentral:rRNA from 1 species